rnacentral:tRNA from 1 species
CGGGAUGUAGCUCAGUUUGGCGAGAGCACCUGCUUUGGGAGCAGGGGGUCGCAGGUUCAAAUCCUGUCAUCCCGA